CAAGAAGUGAAGAAAGAAAAGGUAUUUCAUACUUCCACUAUGGCGUCUAUAUGAUGCGAGAAAUAUGGGAAGUUUAGAUAGGCGAGACGGGAUACAUCGGACCUCGGCCAGCCGUAUCACCGUAACUUCAGUGAGUCAGUCAGCAUGACCAGCAAUCGCGGACAGCAGCGGGAGACGAUGACCUCAGCACCAUGGGCUAUAAAAUCUACAGACGACUUCAGACUCCUCAGAGGGCACGCUGGUGAUUGCGCCGGCAAGAUGCUUAAAUUACAAUGGUCUUCACUACAGAUACUGCUGUGGCAGUCUUUCUACACCAGCAAAGUCGACUGCGGGAAUGCAAGACCAGUAGCUGCGGCGUCAUGUGCUGUCAACCUGCAGUACGUCCCUGAUAAUCAAACGCAAUCCUGGCACCUGCAAAGUGGGUUUCCCGUCAUCGACGACAACAGAACAAGAAAGUAUGCGCCGGAAAACCAAGGAUCAGCUACUGCGACAGAGGCGUGGCUGCUCUCCAAACUGCCCCUGGAAACGCUGCGGCUUUAGUAGGCUCGGCGGCACAAUCGAAGCAGGGAUGUCAUAUUGCUUCCUGUUCUACGUACAGGUUAGUAGAAAAUACUUCUACAAGUGUUUUAAACACGAUUG
rnacentral:misc_RNA from 1 species